rnacentral:rRNA from 1 species
GAUCAUGGCUCAGAUUGAACGCUGGCGGCAUGCUUUACACAUGCAAGUCGGACGGCAGCACAGAGAAGCUUGCUUCUUGGGUGGCGAGUGGCGAACGGGUGAGUAACAUAUCGGAACGUACCGAGCAGUGGGGGAUAACUAAUCGAAAGAUUAGCUAAUACCGCAUAUUUUCUUGAGGAAGAAAGCAGGGGACCAUUUGGCCUUGCGCUGUUUGAGCGGCCGAUAU